CUAAGAAAAAGAAUGAAAGAGGGGAAAGAGACGCACGGUGUCAGGAAAAUGAAUAGCGAGAGUAAAGUGCGCAGGUGCGCCCAGGGCGCCGAGAGGGGCGCGCAGGCCUGGAGUGUGCGCCUGCCCUCUCGGUGUCGGAGAGACGCCCUUCCACCUCUGGGAGCUUCGGUCUGUUGGGGUCGCGGAGUUCGGGCGCGGCUCCGGGUACCCGAGACCAGCGGCGGCAACGUCUAACACGGGAGAUUUCCCGCCACCCCACCCCGCCGCCGCGAGUCCUCGCGGGGCGUGUUGCGUGCGGAGGUCAGGCUGCCACCCUCUGUAGUUCCCUAACCCCAAACUCGGAGACUUCUAAGAGCCACACCACCAAGGAACUUCUAGUCCUGGAGGUCAAUGGUGGGGUAAACCUCGCCUCAAUUCUUUGACCCCCUCGGGUCGUAAGCAGGGCUAAGAGGCUGCGAAGAAGAGGCCUGGCCAUGGGUGUAUGGGGGAAGAAACAUCUCAGGCUCACUCAUGCCCCCUCCCCGACCUUCUCCCACCUGCCGCCAUCCCCGCAGGCUGGGGAGCCAGGGUAACUCGGGGCUGCUCUCUCGAAUUUAUUGGAACGCCGAGUCGGAAUGAGCUGCGCUAGGAGAGCCGAGGGAAGGAGCGAGAGAGGGAGGGGGCGGCUGCCUGUGGGAACGCGGGUUCUUCCAGGGAAGCGGAGCGGGACUGCCGCGUUCCCCUCGAUUUGCACCGUCACUCGGGUUGUUUGGGAAGAAAAGGGGAGGCGCUGUGCGUGCCACCGGGUACCUGGACCUGGAUGCCCAGUGUGUAUGCAUGCCUGUGGCGCUGCUUGAGUUAUCGGGGCUCUGAUAGCGUCCGGAGCGGGUUCGAGGGUCUCCUCCAGAAACUCGCAGAAAUUAGAGGGGGUGGGGAGGAGGACACACCCCCUUCCUCGGAACGACUUAGAAGACUUUGAAUCUCCCCUCCUCCGCUUUUCCGCCCCGGCUCUUCUUUUGUUGUCAAGUCCUUUUGAUAAAUGGUGGGGCUGGGAGAUCUGGGAGUCGGGAGCCAGUCUGUGCCCGCGUGGGGGGCGGGGGCCGAGCCUGGAGACCCGGUUUCGACCGGCGCGCACCUGGGGCUGAGCCGGGUGCGCGCGGGGGUCGGGUCUGGAACUGCCCUCGGUAUGCUCGCCUUCUCCUCUUGGCCCAUCUCACUCCCCUCCCCCACCUGACUCCCCUCCCCGGCUUCUUUCUCUGUCUCCCACUCCGCACGGGUACCGAGAACUUUCCGGGAAUCGACGGGAUUUCUCUGGCUGUCGUUUGCGCUGCAUUUAUCCGAAUAAAUCCAGCUCGCAGGCAUCCUGCAAGAAACGGCUCCCGGCUCGCGUGUACGCCGACACCUUGGCCCAACGCAGGACUCGAGGUGGCUUCUAGUGCCCGGGUGGCUGCAAGUCUGCCCUCCGAGGGAGGCUGGACAAGCGGCGCCCCCAGGUCGAGCGGCCUCUCGCUGCCUGGCAGUGCCUGGCAGCCCCCACCCCUGCCAGUGCUUCGGAAACCUGCCUGGCCAGGUUCGCCCGCGGUGAAAAAUGAAAGCAAAUUCCCCAACAGAGGUAGCCGGAACUUUCCUCGACGAAGGCUCCCUCCUGCGCCUGUGUCUGGAGAACCCCCAGAGCGCUGCAAGUUAGCAAGAGAGAUUCGAUGGCGGCUCUGGAAGGCGCACGAAGGGUGGGGCGGGGGAGCAAAGAGGCCACUGGGUGACCCAGCCUGGCCCGGGGUGAAACGCUAGAGAAGGCGCCUCGCCUUCCUUAUUUCAAUGCAACUCCUCGGCCCCAGACGGUAAAAAUAGUUUCCAAGCUGCCGCGGACGCCCAGGAUGUGUUUGCAGAGAUCAAACUGGGGAGGAGGCAGCUUUGUGAAAGUUGCAGAAAGAUUAGCCGAGAAGCGUCCGCCCGGCGGGGCUCAAGAAAGCUUGGGGACAGCUCCAUGUUCCUUGGGGCGGAAUGGCCCAAGAAUUGGCCUGGGUAACCCCCUGCCCAGUUCUCUGUCCUCACUUCGAGCCAGUGCUUAAAUAACUUCCCGCCGCCUGCCCUGCAAACUUCCCAGCGCGGCGCCGUUGAGGCCAGGACACAGCAAAGGCUAGCAAAACCCCGCCGCGGCGCGCUCGGCCCCAGCCCUGAGAGGCUGCGCGGGUGGGAGGACCAGUGUGGUUUCUGCUCCCACUCGGCUGCCCAGACCCUCAAGACCGAUCCCCCAACUCCUGGGAGCGGGUGCUUCCCUCUGGGAGCCGAGAUCUUGCGGGGCCAGCGAGGGCGCAAAGUGCGCGCGCUGGCCCGCGCGGGGGCGGCCGCGCGUCUCUCCGCGGGGCCUGUCGCCAGGCCGGCCGCGGCGGGUGAGUGAUGAGGGCAGAGAAGGGCGCCCAUAAAUCGCGGGUGUCAGGGCGAAAAACUCUCUUUAUUGUCUGCGUGAUGGAUGGGCCCGGGGACGAGACACCAAAUACUUCGUAUCGCCUUUAAAUGGGAACACAUUUUCCGCGGCCAUAAUUCAUGUUUUUUAAAUAGAAAGUUUGAAAUGUUGCCUAUAUUUCACCAGCCCUGACAUAUUUAUGAAUCGCUCCCUGCAUGCAAAUAUCAUUACUUAAAGCGCCGGGGAGAGCGCGGGGGAGGGGAGGAGGCGCGGUUCCCGGGGCGCGGGGGUGGUGAACCGGGGAAAUAUCGGUGGAGGGGGGCCAUCUCCCUAAAGGGCAGAGGGUGAGGUGCGGUGAAUAGCCGUAUCCGGAAACCGAGCGUGCCCCCGGGCUUCUCUCCCGCCGCCAGACCCCGCACAGCCGCCCUGGGACGUUUUUCGAGGCUUGGGACCUAAGACGGGUCCCCGGACCCUGCUGGGAAACCAGGGGGCGUUUUUCGUCCCUCUCUCAGGCCAUUAUCCAAGCUGAAACCACCUUUUAUAAGAAAAAAGUUUAAAGAAAAAAAAUUUAACAAACACAAAUAAUAAUAAUAACCCAACAUGUUUCGCGUUCUUUGCCACUGCAUCGAUUUUAUUGAUUUUCAUUCUGCAAACCUGGGAAUGUGCGCGCUCGGGAGGGGAGGCUGUCAAAACCCAGCCAUCGCGGGGACUGGAUGGGGGACAAUUCUCCGACGCCGUGGCCUGGACCCGCCCCCACCCAACCGGCGCACCACCUCCCAGGCACCACGGAGCCUGCGCAAGCUGCGGGGCCGUAAAGGAACCGGCCCCCAAUCUCCGGGGCUUCAGUCCCGCCCCUCUCUCUCCCCAGUGCCCUGCAGCGCUCCCAGGGUCCGUGUCUGCCCUCCCCAAGCCCCCACUGUCAAUACAAUCCCUGUUAAAAAAAAAAAAAAAUCUUUUAAGAGCCAGGCACGUGCCGUCGGCCUCUCCCCUGCCCGCCUGGCCCAGGAGGCGCCCACACCUGCGCCCUCACUUGCCGAGACUUUACCUGUGCAGUCCCCGGCGGCGCCUGCAGCCGCGCAGGUGCCAUUUAAAAAUUUUGUAUGAAUUAUGUCCUCGCCCACAGCGACUCUCUGAGAUCUGGGGCAUGCCAACUCCUUACUCUGGGGGAGUAUUGGAGGGAGAAUUCUACUUUUCUGAUGGGGGAGUACCAGCCUGUUAACCACAACCAUUUGCAGCUGAAGCCAGUGCAGAGCAGGAGGGGGAUCUGCACAGAGGAGAACAGUAUAAAUGGCAUGGGGUCAUCUCAGCCCCUGGCCAGCUCCCAGCCUAAUGGGAAAACCGGACCAUUGAGCAUUCCUUGCUGUUUCCCUGUAGUCCCAGCCCAAGCCAGCGUGCUCUUUCUUUAAAAAGCAAAUCCAACCAUGUUUCUCUUCUGCUUAAAGGCAUCCGGGUUCCCAUUGUUCUUGAGAACAAGUUGAGCUUGCCUCCCCUGGCUGGCGGGUCUACACUGGCUCUGCCCCAGCUUGACUUUCUGCCUUUGUCUGCCUCCACACCCCCUCACCCGGAACUCCUGCUACCCAAGGCUUCCUUUUAGUUCCUCAAAUGUGCCAUGCUACUCCCCACCUCAAGGGCUUUGCUCCUGCUUUUCUCUGUCUCUCUGGAAUGACCUGUCCUUCUCUUCACCUGGCUUGCGCAUACUCUUCCUUCAGGUCUCAGCUCACACAUCACUUUCCUGCAUCCUCCCGCCUCCCAUUACCCUCACUUAUAAUAGAAUUUCCUGUUGAGAGUCUGUCCGCUUCACUGGAUAGUAAACUCCCAGGGGGUAGGGACUAGGGCCGUUCCUUCAAGGAACAAAUGAAGAAGGAACAUUUGUAUAAACCACCAACUAUGAUGAACGAAUGAAACUGCCCUUUUUGGGGCCACCAGUAAGUAUUCUCCAUGGUCUCACAUUCCAAGAUGUCCUCAACUUAAUGAGGGCGAUGAUACAAAUCUCAUGAAAACAUACGUUAUUUUGAAUGCCUUUAUUGUAAAUGUCAAAUAAGGGGAUGCUGGAGGAGGUUGGAGAAGAGGAAUAUGCAUGGAUUACAGCCAUUUAUUCAGGGUUUCAAGAUGCAAGAUGUGUUGGUUGACACAAUUUAAUGGAAAACCAUGCCACCCACGACCAUCUCCCAGUGUUGGGCAUGUAUGUCUCAAGGCUCUAGCCUGCACCCCUUUUCCUCUUCCUUUCUUCACAUAUUAUUGCUAUUACAGUUCAGUUCUUACUAGUUUCUGACUGAACUGCUGCUACAAGAACCUUCUAAUUGUUCUGCCCAUCCUCCACCUCUCCUGCCUCUAAUCCAUUAUACAUACUCCUGCUGGGUUAAUUUUCCUGACCACAUCAUUCCCUUACUCAAAACUCUUCAGUGGCUCCCUAUGAUACAAUGUAACACUUGACUCUUCAUAACCCACUUCCAAACUACUUUUGUAAAGCUUUAAGAUGCAUUCCAAAAUUAUGAAAGAAACACAUAUUCACCUCAACCAGGAAAACACUCAAAGAUAUACAAAGAAAAACAUUAGUGAUCUUCCUCACCUCCUCUGCAUUUCCCACCCAGUCUCCCAAGACAUCCAUUGUUAAGGACCUGGGGUAUAACUUCUACCUCUUUCACCAUGCUCCAUGCUCAUAAUAAACUAUAUUCAUAUAUGUGGAGCUAUUGUGUUAUUGCCUAUUUAUACAAAAAGGAUUAUAUUAGGGGUCUCUGCA